AUUGAACGCUGGCGGCAUGCCUUACACAUGCAAGUCGAACGGUAACGGGCCUUCGGGUGCCGACGAGUGGCGAACGGGUGAGUAAUGCAUCGGAACGUACCUUUCAGUGGGGGAUAACGUAGCGAAAGUUACGCUAAUACCGCAUAUUCUGUGAGCAGGAAAGCAGGGGAUCGCAAGACCUUGCGCUGAUUGAGCGGCCGAUGUCAGAUUAGCUAGUUGGUGAGGUAAAGGCUCACCAAGGCGACGAUCUGUAGCGGGUCUGAGAGGAUGAUCCGCCACACUGGAACUGAGACACGGUCCAGACUCCUACGGGAGGCAGCAGUGGGAAUUUUUGGACAAUGGGGGCAACCCUGAUCCAGCCAUGCCGCGUGAGUGAAGAAGGCCUCGGUU
rnacentral:rRNA from 1 species